ACCCGUGCCAUGAACAGUGCUUAUUAGUCAGUACCUAGUACUGAAAGUGUGUUUACUACUACCAAGAAAAACUCAGUAAGAAAAAAAAUAUUGAAAAAAGUCAUAUAAAAAAAAUAGGAAAAACGGCAAAUCCUCUGUAUGAAGAAAAGCAACUCUCAUGCUUUCUUUUUGAUUUUAUAUUGUUUGGUCCACGAAAAUAGAUGUUGGUGUGUUAUAACAUCGGACCUUUACAAUUAAAAUUUCAGAAACUUG
rnacentral:misc_RNA from 1 species